AUUGAACGCUGGCGGCAGGCCUAACACAUGCAAGUCGAGCGGAUGACGGGAGCUUGCUCCUUGAUUCAGCGGCGGACGGGUGAGUAAUGCCUAGGAAUCUGCCUGGUAGUGGGGGACAACGUUUCGAAAGGAACGCUAAUACCGCAUACGUCCUACGGGAGAAAGCAGGGGACCUUCGGGCCUUGCGCUAUCAGAUGAGCCUAGGUCGGAUUAGCUAGUUGGUGGGGUAAUGGCUCACCAAGGCGACGAUCCGUAACUGGUCUGAGAGGAUGAUCAGUCACACUGGAACUGAGACACGAUCCAGACUCCUACGGGAGGCAGCAGUGGAGAAUAUUGGACAAUGGGCGAAAGCCUGAUCCGGCCAUGCCGCGUGUGUGAAGAAGGUCUUCGGAUUGUAAAGCACUUUAAGUUGGGAGGAAGGGCAGUAAGUUAAUACCUUGCUGUUUUGACGUUACCGACAGAAUAAGCACCGGCUAACUCUGUGCCAGCCGCCGCCGUAACAC
rnacentral:rRNA from 1 species